rnacentral:tRNA from 1 species
GGGCCGGUAGCAUAUGGGUAAAUGCGUCCGACUCAUAAUCGGUUGAGCAAGGUUCGAUUCCUUGACGGCCCACCA